UCUGCCCCCGAAAGCCUGCGCAGGCAGC
rnacentral:piRNA from 1 species